UACGUAGGGCGCAAGCGUUAUCCGGAAUUAUUGGGCGUAAAGAGCUCGUAGGCGGUUUGUCGCGUCUGCUGUGAAAACUCAGGGCUUAACCCUGAGCCUGCAGUGGGUACGGGCAGACUAGAGUGUGGUAGGGGAGAUCGGAAUUCCUGGUGUAGCGGUGGAAUGCGCAGAUAUCAGGAGGAACACCGGUGGCGAAGGCGGAUCUCUGGGCCAUAACUGACGCUGAGGAGCGAAAGCAUGGGGAGCGAACAGG
rnacentral:rRNA from 1 species